ACGCUCGACACCUACGUGAGGCAGCAGUGGGGAAUAUUGCACAAUGGGGGAAACCCUGAUGCAGCGACGCCGCGUGAGUGAAGAAGUAUUUCGGUAUGUAAAGCUCUAUCAGCAGGGAAGAAGAUGACGGUACCUGAGUAAGAAGCCCCGGCUAACUACGUGCCAGCAGCCGCGGUAAUCUGAGCGGGCUGGCAAGGC
rnacentral:rRNA from 1 species